GCUGAAACAGUACACAGUAGAAUCUAGUCAUUGUUUUAGAACUUCUGGAAGUGAAGUCCUGGAUCUUAUCACUUCAUCAUCAGCUGUGUGAUUAGUUCCUUAACAUAUUGCAUGAUGUGGAAAUACUGAAAGUGGGUGUUGUCAGUGAAAAAGGUACUAGCUCUGCUUUUGACUUGAAUCUGAUGUAAUUGUAUGAAUGUGAACAGGUCAACACUUGAUACUUAUCCUGUAAUUUAAAAAAAACUAUUUUAGAAAAGGUAUGAUUCUUGCUUAUCUUGUCAAAAAUAUUCAAGCAUUCAGUAUUCAUGUUAUGCUGGUUUCUUGUUCAUAUCAUUAAUAAAAAUUAGACUACAUUAACAAUCAGUCUGAAGUGAUUUUCAGGUUGAAUUUACAUACACACAACAAGCAGUGGAAGACCUUGAAAUUGCUGCAUUUCCUGCAAAAAGUUACUAAGUAUUUAUUAAUUAACUUCUAAUCAUUAAAAAUAUUUUUAGAAACACA